CAGUAGCCACGGUAAUACGUAGGGUGCGAGCGUUAAUCGGAAUUACUGGGCGUAAAGCGUGCGCAGGCGGUUCGUUAAGACAGAUGUGAAAUCCCCGGGCUUAACCUGGGAACUGCAUUUGUGACUGGCGAGCUAGAGUAUGGCAGAGGGGGGUAGAAUUCCACGUGUAGCAGUGAAAUGCGUAGAGAUGUGGAGGAAUACCGAUGGCGAAGGCAGCCCCCUGGGCCAAUACUGACGCUCAUGCACGAAAGCGUGGGGAGCAAACAGGAUUAGAUACCCCGGUAGUCCCUGUCUCUUAUAA
rnacentral:rRNA from 1 species